rnacentral:rRNA from 1 species
AACGAACGCUGGCGGCAUGCCUAACACAUGCAAGUCGAACGAGACCUUCGGGUCUAGUGGCGCACGGGUGCGUAACGCGUGGGAACCUGCCUUUAGGUUCGGAAUAACUCAGAGAAAUUUGAGCUAAUACCGGAUAAUGUCUUCGGACCAAAGAUUUAUCGCCUUUAGAUGGGCCCGCGUAAGAUUAGCUAGUUGGUGGGUAAAGGCCUACCAAGGCGACGAUCUUUAGCUGGUCUGAGAGGAUGAUCAGCCACACUGGGACUGAGACACGGCCCAGACUCCUACGGGAGGCAGCAGUGGGGAAUAUUGGACAAUGGGCGAAAGCCUGAUCCAGCAAUGCCGCGUGAGUGAUGAAGGCCUUAGGGUUGUAAAAGCUCUUUUACCCGAGAUGAUAAUGACAGUAUCGGGAGAAUAAGCUCCGGGCUAACUCCGUGCCAGCAGCCGCGGUAAU